rnacentral:rRNA from 1 species
AGACCGAUAGCGAACAAGUACCGUGAGGGAAAGUUGANAAGAACUUUGAAGAGAGAGUUCAAGAGUACGUGAAACCGUUCAGGGGUAAACCUAAGAAACCCAAAAGAUCNNACGGGGAGAUUCAUCGUCNGCGGNGUUGGCUUCGCGUCGGUGGGCGAUGUCCCGCGAGNUNNCUCGCGGGCACGCUACCGUGCGCGCACNUCCGAYGUCGUCNUCGUGCACUUCUCCCCUANUAGGACGUCNCGACUCGCUGGGUGUCGGUCUACGGNCCGAGUGCGGUGUCUGUCGCGUCGCCGGUAAAACGGCACGCGGCAAACCCUNGGUCGCCCGGCCGGCUGCCCGGCGGUACUCGCAAGGUAUCAGGCCGCGAARUGCUCUUCGCGUCAAGCCCGUCGCAAGCGCGCGCCACGGCANNCGGAGGUACGGACYUAGCGCCGUCCCCGGUCCUGGUCCGCUGUUGGCAGAACGGUGACCCUUUGACAGGCCUUWACCGGGGGCGGGCGGUGSCUCGCGCGCCGCUCCCCUNGAUACCGGUCGGCGACGCUA